rnacentral:snRNA from 1 species
AUCUUUGUACAGUGGCAGUAUCAUAGCCAAUGAGGUUUACUGAGGAGUGAUUAUUGCUAAUUGAAACUAAUGGCAGUUUAUCCUCC